rnacentral:rRNA from 1 species
GCCAGACUCCUACGGGAGGCAGCAGUAGGGAAUAUUGCUCAAUGGGGGAAACCCUGAAGCAGCAACGCCGCGUGGAGGAUGAAGGUUUUCGGAUUGUAAACUCCUUUUGUUAGAGAAGAUAAUGACGGUAUCUAACGAAUAAGCACCGGCUAACUCCGUGCCAGCAGCCGCGGUAAUACGGAGGGUGCACGCGUUACUCGGAAUCACUGGGCGUAAAGAGCGCGUAGGCGGGAUAGCAAGUCAGAUGUGAAAACCUAUGGCUUAACCAGAGAACUGCAUUUGAAACUGGUAGUCUAGAGGAUGGGAGAGGUAGGGGGAAUUCUUGGGGGAGGGGUAAAAUCCGGAGAGAACAAG